UACGGGAGGCAGCAGUGGGGAAUAUUGCACAAUGGGCGAAAGCCUGAUGCAGCUAUGCCGCGUGUAUGAAGAAGGCCUUAGGGUUGUAAAGUACUUUCAUCGGGGAGGAAAAAACAAAACUAAUAAUUUUAUUUCUUGACGUUACCCGAAAAAGAAGCACCGGCUAACUCCGUGCCAGCAGCCGCGGUAAUACGGAGGGUGCUAGCGUUAAUCAGAAUUACUGGGCGUAAAGAGCACGUAGGUGGUUUUUUUAAGUCAGAUGUGAAAUCCCUGGGCUUAACCUAGGAACUGCAUUUUGAAACUGAAAUACUAGAGUAUCGUAGAGGGAGGUAGAAUUCUAGGUGUAGCGGUGAAAUGCGUAGAUAUCUGGAGGAAUACCUGUGGCGAAAGCGGCCUCCUAAACGAAUACUGACACUGAGGUGCGAAAGCGUUGGGGAGCAAACAGGGAUUAGAUACC
rnacentral:rRNA from 1 species